GAAAGGUUGUAGCUCAGUGGUAGAGCAUCUGCUUGGCCUGCAGAAGGUCCCAGGUUCAAUCCCUGGCAUUGUCA